GGGCCCUAGCUCAGUGGUAGAGCAUCCGCUUCACGUGCAAAAGGGUCCAGGUUCGAUCCCCAACAUAUCCA